AUGCUCAUUUGUAAUUUUGGCCAUGAUUGUUGUGUGCAUCCUAUGAGGUUGAUGUCUACAUGUGUUUUGAUCUACGCCAUGCCAUCUUUCCAGGGGUGUUUGCCAUGUAUUUUUGUGAUCAAUGUGGUGACCAGCACAAGCAUGCAAACUAGGCUUCCUGAUAUUGCUGAUUUUAGUCCCUGUUCUGCUGUUAUUUUGAUGCCAUGUAAACUUGAGGCUACAGAGAGAUCCAUGCAUAUUUUGAGUUACUUCAGUAAGGGUGUUUUGAACAUGUGGUUUUUGUCUAUCCAUUCAUGCCCUUUUUUGUAA
rnacentral:rRNA from 1 species